rfam:Dipodomys ordii contig_31943, whole genome shotgun sequence.
UGGGAUGUGGCUUAGUGGUAGAGUGCUUGCCUAGCGUGCAUGAAGCCCUGGGCUCAAUUCCUCAGUAUCACAU